AACAAUUUUCCGAAAUAGUGACAAAAAUAUCAAUGCUGGGUAUUUAUAUUACUUAGUAAUUGGAAUGAGUACAAUUUAAAUCCCUUAACAAGUAACAAUUAGAGGGCAAGUCUGGUGCCAGCAGCCGCGGUAAUUCCAGCUCUAAUAGCGUAUAUUAAUAUUGUUGCAGUUAAAAAGCUCGUUAGUUGAAAUUUGGGACUUUAUUGUAUUGGUUUAUUUUUGAUGAACUGUAUAAUGGGUUUCUUCCUACUAGAGUUCGAUUCUGUUCUUAAUUGAAUGGAGUAGCUAUCUUUCGGGGUGGUCAAUUGGUUGUUAUAUCUCCACUAAUAAGCGGAGAGGGGUAAAACUCUCAAAGUAAGUUAUGUGGGUCAAGGUAUGAUGAUUAAUUGGAGUUCUAGUUCAUUUACUUUGAGAAAAUUAGAGUGUUUAAAGCAGCCUCUUGGGGCACUGAAUACAUUAGCAUGGGAUAAUAAAAUAGGAUCUUCACAAUAUAUUUUAUUGGUUUAAAUUGGAUAUGAAGAUAAUGAUUAAUAGGGACAGUUGGGGGG
rnacentral:rRNA from 1 species